UUUGGACCUUUGGAUAAAAGUUGUAGAACGACAGAAAUUAACCUGAGGUGCCGCUCUUCCGUGCAUUUUCUUUCUCUGACCUCCCUCCCCGCCGAAGGUGAUGACAAUGAAGAGGCGGAUCGGUGUCUUGGCCGCUGCUGCAGCGAGCCGCUGCACGCUGCGCCGGCUUCCCCAAGUAUCGUCUUGGCCCUUACACGCGUCGGGCGCUGUCGCCUCCGCGAAAGGUGCCUCAAACGCCGCUCUGUUGGGGGCUGUGCGGAAUCAAAGUGCCGUCCCGGACCGGCGCUUCCACUGUAGCGUUUGCAAAAAGUCGUUUCGCUUGGAGAUGGCGGCAAAGCUGCACCUUCAGCAGGUGCACAGUGGUGAGGGCACGGUGGAGGCAGGCGCUGGACCGGGACAGGGAGAGGAUCAGGCGUUGCAGACACCGGUGGGUGUAUUUCGUAAUGCACCUCCGCAGGCACCAACCGUCGUUACAGCGAUCGUGCCAGACACUCACGAGCGUGCCGCGCGCCGUGAGAAGCCGGCACCAAAGCCACUUCACCAAGCCGAACGCGAGGUGCCAAGUCUUGUGAUGGAAAAGAUGCUCUCUGUAUGGGAUGACACGGGGGUGAAGCGUAUGGGGGAUCAGUUUGUUCACAGUAGCAUGGUAAUGCGCGUGUUUGCCGCUCGCCCGUCUGACGGCGCCGAGCCGUUGUACGGCGUCAUGAAUCCGGAGGGUGAGAACCCGUUCGAGGGUGGCCCGUAUCCCCCCGACGCGGGUGGUCCGCUCACGAAGAACGAGGUCAACUUUUACAGCAUUGGUAUAGGUGACGCGUUUGCGCUGGCGUGUGGUGAGUCUUUCGGUCCAUUGCGUCCUGCUCGGUGCCCGAACCCGUUCCUCCGAAAACUAGCAAAGGACGCUGCAAAAACCGCCCCGAGGGUGGGGUUGGCAGAGCAGCAAACGGCGCCUGUAACGCCGUUUGGACAGCUCCCCAUGUUUGGGCAGACUCCGUCUCCUGCUACGACCCCAGCUCCGAGCGCCGCCGAGGAACCGUCGACCACGAUCAGCGUCGUCUCUUCUCCCUUCGCCGCGGGCGCCAACGACUCGCCUUUUGCUGGGACGACGGAUUUUCCGUUUGCUGGGCAAGGGCUCUCUCCGUUCGGCUCGCUGAAGAAACCAGCAGAUCAGGCCGCUGCCGAGCCCGGGAUUGCCGCGCGAUCGGCGGCCUCGUUUGAGGCUCCGGCCUCACCGUUUGUGGAUGCUGCUAGUGCUCUCACUCCGUCCCCGUUCGCCGCAGCUCCGAGCCCUUUCACCGAAUCUUCGUCGGCAGCAGCCCCGUAUGCUGCGAGGGACGCAGCUGCGGUGGCAGGCGGCGCUGAGGCUCAUGACGCCGUCUUCUUUUCCUCUUUCUCAGCGUCUUCCGCGAGCCGGCCGGCUGAGGUGGGGCCCACCGCGACGCACGUGUGCACCGUUUGCAAGAAGAGCUUUUCGACUUAUGACGGCCUUCGAAUGCAUAGCAAGGCCAAGCAUGGGGAGGAGCUGCCGAAGGAGCUGCGAAAUGGGCGGCGAAACGAGAAGCGCGAGGUUCCGGACUUACCGGCCUUCAUUCCCAGCCCGGUGGACCUCACGGUGACAUCGCCCUUCGGCUCGUCGGCGCAACGGUCGGCGUGGACGGAAGUGGAGCUGAAACCGUACGCGCAGUCUGUGAGUAACAUUACUGUGGCGGGCCGCGUGCUGGAUAGCGAAGUUUCGAGUGACGGGGCGUUGCUUUUGUCGCUUUUUGUCCCCGAUUCGUCCGAGAGCGAGUCGGAGGUGAUUCCUGUUCGCUGCAGCUCAGCUGCCUUUAGAACGCUUGGCAGAACGCUCGUGUAUGGCGAUCUCGUGUUCGCGUGUGGUUCGCUGCGCGUUUUGCCAUUCACGGAUAAGAAAACACAAAAGACAUACUCCUCGGCGGUCGUGCACGUGGGUCUUCCAACUGGCAUGAUUGCGAAACUGAACUGAGUGACUGGUACACGUUCCCGGGUGCCGGCGGCGUGCCCGUUACCCAGCGCUAGCAGAAGAGCCCCGGUGCAAAGCUGCGCUGAAGGAGACGCUCUCGGUGAAACCUCUACAAUGGGAGACUGGAUAGGGGUACAUUCCAAGGUGUGUGUGUGUGUAUGGCGGGUGUGCGGGUAAGCGAAAUCUGUUGUGGCUCUGCCGAAGCGUGCCUUUGGGAUGCCUCUGUUCCCAGCGUCUUUCGGGCUACCCCCGAACUACGGCCAUACCGCUGUGCAUGAUCGGAGGACAAGAACCGUUCUCGAUACCGUGUUUUGUGUGCUAUAUCGCACAGUGUUUUUAUUUUUCGUAAGUGGUUUUGCCUUUGCACGUGACGAAAUAAACUAAUUGUGCGGUGCACUGACACGCCUUUGUGGAGCUAUGGUGCGCUGUGGCUCGUGUACACAGUGCACCAUAGCACACGCCGUGGAAGAGGAGACCGAUGCAAAGUCGAAGACGGGCUUCGGCGGCAACCUUGUUGUCCCCUCGCGUUUCACGCGUUCCCGUUUCUCUCUCCCACAUUUCCUUCUUCUGCGUGUGUGCGUCGACGUCUCUCUCCUAUCCGAAUCACGAAAUAUGGCGCAUACACAUCUUGAACGGCACACACGGACUGGCUCGCCUUUGGAUGCUUGCCCCACCUUGCACAACUGCAG
rnacentral:misc_RNA from 1 species